rnacentral:rRNA from 1 species
UAUAGCAAUUAUACAGCGAAACUGCGAAUGGCUCAUUAUAUAAGUUAUCGUUUAUUUGAUAGUGCCUUACUACUUGGAUAACCGUGGUAAUUCUAGAGCUAAUACAUGCUAAAAACCCCGACUUCGGAAGGGGUGUAUUUAUUAGAUACAAAACCAAUGCCCUUCGGGGCUCUUUGGUGAUUCAUGAUAACUAUACGAAUCGCACGGCCUUGCGCCGGCGAUGGUUCAUUCAAAUUUCUUCCCUAUCAACUUUCGAUGUUUGGGUCUUGGCCAAACAUGGUUGCAACGGGUAACGGAGGGUUAGGGCUCGACCCCGGAGAAGGAGCCUGAGAAACGGCUACUACAUCCAAGGAAGGCAGCAGGCGCGCAAAUUACCCAAUCCCGACUCGGGGAGGUAGUGACAAUAAAUACUGAUACAGGGCCCUUUCGGGCCUUGUAAUUGGAAUGAGUACAAUUUAAAUCCCUUAACGAGGAACAAUUGGAGGGCAAGUCUGGUGCCAGCAGCCGCGGUAAUUCCAGCUCCAAUAGCGUAUAUUAAAGUUGUUGUGGUUAAAAAGCUCGUAGUUGAACCUUGGGCCUGGCUGGCCGGUCCGCCUCACCGCGUGCACUGGUCCGGCCGGGCCUUUCCCUCUGUGGAACCCCAUACCCUUCACUGGGCGUGGCGGGGAAACAGGACAUUUACUUUGAAAAAAUUAGAGUGCUCCAGGCAGGCCUAUGCUCGAAUACAUUAGCAUGGAAUAAUAAAAUAGGACGCGCGGUUCUAUUUUGUUGGUUUAUAGGACCGCCGUAAUGAUUAAUAGGGACAGUCGGGGGCAUCAGUAUUCAAAUGUCAGAGGUGAAAUUCUUGGAUCAUUUGAAGACUAACUACUGCGAAAGCAUUUGCCAAGGAUGUUUUCAUUAAUCAGGAACGAAAGUUAGGGGAUCGAAGACGAUCAGAUACCGUCGUAGUCUUAACCAUAAACUAUGCCGACUAGGGAUCGGACGGUGUUAUUCAUGACCCGUUCGGCACCUUACGAGAAAUCAAAGUGCUUGGGCU